CGGAGGGUGCAAACGUUGUCCGGAAUCACUGGGCGUAGAGCGCAUGUAGGUGGUUAGUAAAGUGGGCGAUUAAAGACCGAUGCUUAACAUCGGGACUGUUACCCAUACUCACUGACUAGAGGAUGACAGGGGUAAGCGGAACUUUAGGUGUAGGAGUGAAAUCCGUAGAUAUCUAAAGGAACACCAAUGGCGAAGGCAGCUUACUGGGUCUUUCCUGACACUGAGAUGCGAAAGCGUGGGGAGCGAACGGGAUUAGAUACCCCGGUAGUCCACGCUGUAAACGAUGCCGACUAGCUCUUGGGGAGUAUCGACCCUCCUUUGGAGCGAAGCUAACGCGUUAAGUCGGCCGCCUGGGGAGUACGAGCGCAAGCUUA
rnacentral:rRNA from 1 species